rnacentral:rRNA from 1 species
CCUACGGGUGGCUGCAGUGGGGAAUAUUGCACAAUGGGCGCAAGCCUGAUGCAGCCAUGCCGCGUGUGUGAAGAAGGCCUUCGGGUUGUAAAGCACUUUCAGCGGGGAGGACGGCGUUAAGGUUAAUAACCUUGGCGAUUGACGUUACCCGCAGAAGAAGCACCGGCUAACUCCGUGCCAGCAGCCGCGGUAAUACGGAGGGUGCAAGCGUUAAUCGGAAUUACUGGGCGUAAAGCGCACGCAGGCGGUCUGUCAAGUCGGAUGUGAAAUCCCCGGGCUCAACCUGGGAACUGCAUUCGAAACUGGCAGGCUAGAGUCUUGUAGAGGGGGGUAGAAUUCCAGGUGUAGCGGUGAAAUGCGUAGAGAUCUGGAGGAAUACCGGUGGCGAAGGCGGCCCCCUGGACAAAGACUGACGCUCAGGUGCGAAAGCGUGGGGAGCAAACAGGAUUAGAUACCCUAGUAGUC